rnacentral:misc_RNA from 1 species
UCCGGCUUAUCACCGGCGGUUUCUUUAGAGUGCCCAACUAAAUGAUGGCAACUAAAGACGAGGGUUGCGCUCGUUGCGGGACUUAACCCAACAUCUCACGACACGAGCUGACGACAGCCAUGCACCACCUGUGAUCCUGCCCCGAAGGGAAACCAUGUUUCCACGGCUGUCACCUACAUGUCAAGCCCAGGUAAGGUUCUUCGCGUUGCGUCGAAUUAAACCACAUGCUCCGCUGCUUGUGCGGGCCCCCGUCAAUUCCUUUGAGUUUCAACCUUGCGGCCGUAGUCCCCAGGCGGUUCACUUAAUGCGUUAGCUGCGGCACCGAGGGAAACCCCCAACACCUAGUGAACAUCGUUUAUGGCCAAGACUAC